rnacentral:rRNA from 1 species
AGUGAACGCUGGCGGUAGGCCUAACACAUGCAAGUCGAACGGCAGCACAGUAAGAGCUUGCUCUUACGGGUGGCGGGUGGCGGACGGGUGAGGAAUACAUCGGAAUCUACUUUUUCGUGGGGGAUAACGUAGGGAAACUUACGCUAAUACCGCAUACGACCUACGGGUGAAAGCAGGGGAUCUUCGGACCUUGCGCGAUUGAAUGAGCCGAUGUCGGAUUAGCUAGUUGGCGGGGUAAAGGCCCACCAAGGCGACGAUCCGUAGCUGGUCUGAGAGGAUGAUCGGCCACACUGGAACUGAGACACGGUCCAGACUCCUACGGGAGGCAGCAGUGGGGAAUAUUGGACAAUGGGCGCAAGCCUGAUCCAGCCAUACCGCGUGGGUGAAGAAGGCCUUCGGGUUGUAAAGCCCUUUUGUUGGGAAAGAAAAGCAGCAGGUUAAUACCCCGCUGUUCUGACGGUACCCAAAGAAUAAGCACCGGCUAACUUCGUG